GGAGUUAGCCGGUGCUUCUUCUGUGAGUGAUGUCCUUCCUGCCGGCUAUUAACCCGCAGGCCUUCUUCCUCACUGAAAGUGCUUUACAACCCGAAGGCCUUCUUCACACACGCGGCAUGGCUGGAUCAGGGUUGCCCCCAUUGUCCAAUAUUCCCCACUGCUGCCUCCCGUAGGAGUCUGGGCCGUGUCUCAGUCCCAGUGUGGCUGAUCAUCCUCUCAGACCAGCUACGGAUCGUCGCCUUGGUGAGCCGUUACCUCACCAACCAGCUAAUCCGACAUAGGCUCAUCCGAUAGCGCGAGGCCCGAAGGUCCCCCGNUUUCCCCCGUAGGGCGUAUGCGGUAUUAGCCUGGGUUUCCCCAGGUUAUCCCCCACUACCGGGCAGAUUCCUAUGCAUUACUCACCCGUCCGCCGCUCGCCACCAGGAGCAAGCUCCCCGUGCUGCCGCUCGACUUGCAUGUGUAGCUCGCGCCGACGCGUCAUCUGAGCAUAUACAACUACUCGA
rnacentral:rRNA from 1 species